rnacentral:tRNA from 1 species
GCCUGGCCGGCUCAGUUAGUGGAGCAUGUGACUUUUGAUCUCAGUGUCUUGGGUUCAAGCCCCACUUUGGGCA